UCAAGUGAAUAAGUGCAUCAGGUGGAUGCCUUGGCGAUGAUAGGCGACGAAGGACGUGUAAGCCUGCGAAAAGCGUGGGGGAGCUGGCAAUAAAGCUAUGAUCCCGCGAUGUCCGAAUGGGGAAACCCACUGCAUUCUGUGCAGUAUCCUAAGUUGAAUACAUAGACUUAGAGAAGCGAACCCGGAGAACUGAACCAUCUAAGUACCCGGAGGAAAAGAAAUCAACCGAGAUUCCGCAAGUAGUGGCGAGCGAACGCGGAGGAGCCUGUACGUAAUAACUGUCGAGAUAGAAGAACAAGCUGGGAAGCUUGACCAUAGUGGGUGAUAGUCCCGUAUUCGAAAUCUCAACAGUGGUACUAAGCGUACGAAAAGUAGGGCGGGACACGUGAAAUCCUGUCUGAAUAUGGGGGGACCAUCCUCCAAGGCUAAAUACUCAUCAUCGACCGAUAGUGAACCAGUACCGUGAGGGAAAGGCGAAAAGAACCCCGGGAGGGGAGUGAAAUAGAACCUGAAACCUGAUGCAUACAAACAGUGGGAGCACCCUUGUGGUGUGACUGCGUACCUUUUGUAUAAUGGGUCAACGACUUACAUUCAGUAGCGAGCUUAACCGAAUAGGGGAGGCGUAGGGAAACCGAGUCUUAAUAGGGCGAACAGUUGCUGGGUGUAGACCCGAAACCGAGUGAUCUAUCCAUGGCCAGGUUGAAGGUGCCGUAACAGGUACUGGAGGACCGAACCCACGCAUGUUGCAAAAUGCGGGGAUGAGCUGUGGAUAGGGGUGAAAGGCUAAACAAACUCGGAGAUAGCUGGUUCUCCCCGAAAACUAUUUAGGUAGUGCCUCGAGCAAGACACUGAUGGGGGUAAAGCACUGUUAUGGCUAGGGGGUUAUUGCAACUUACCAACCCAUGGCAAACUAAGAAUACCAUCAAGUGGUUCCUCGGGAGACAGACAGCGGGUGCUAACGUCCGUUGUCAAGAGGGAAACAACCCAGACCGCCAGCUAAGGUCCCAAAUGAUAGAUUAAGUGGUAAACGAAGUGGGAAGGCCCAGACAGCCAGGAUGUUGGCUUAGAAGCAGCCAUCAUUUAAAGAAAGCGUAAUAGCUCACUGGUCGAGUCGUCCUGCGCGGAAGAUGUAACGGGGCUCAAAUCUAUAACCGAAGCUGCGGAUGCCAGUUUACUGGCAUGGUAGGGGAGCGUUCUGUAGGCCGAUGAAGGUGCAUUGUAAAGUGUGCUGGAGGUAUCAGAAGUGCGAAUGUUGACAUGAGUAGCGAUAAAGCGGGUGAAAAGCCCGCUCGCCGAAAGCCCAAGGUUUCCUACGCAACGUUCAUCGGCGUAGGGUGAGUCGGCCCCUAAGGCGAGGCAGAGAUGCGUAGUCGAUGGGAAACGGGUUAAUAUUCCCGUACUUGAUUUAAGUGCGAUGUGGGGACGGAGAAGGUUAGGUCAGCAAACUGUUGGAAUAGUUUGUUCAAGCCGGUAGGUGGAAGACUUAGGCAAAUCCGGGUCUUCUUAACACCGAGAAGUGAUGACGAGUGUCUACGGACAUGAAGUAACCGAUACCACGCUUCCAGGAAAAGCCACUAAGCUUCAGUUUGAAUUGAACCGUACCGCAAACCGACACAGGUGGGCAGGAUGAGAAUUCUAAGGCGCUUGAGAGAACUCGGGAGAAGGAACUCGGCAAAUUGAUACCGUAACUUCGGGAGAAGGUAUGCCCUCUAAGGUGAAGGAUUUACUCCAUAAGCCCCUGAGGGUCGCAGAGAAUCGGUGGCUGCGACUGUUUAUUAAAAACACAGCACUCUGCAAACACGAAAGUGGACGUAUAGGGUGUGACGCCUGCCCGGUGCUGGAAGGUUAAUUGAAGAUGUGCAAGCAUCGGAUCGAAGCCCCAGUAAACGGCGGCCGUAACUAUAACGGUCCUAAGGUAGCGAAAUUCCUUGUCGGGUAAGUUCCGACCCGCACGAAUGGCGUAACGAUGGCCACACUGUCUCCUCCCGAGACUCAGCGAAGUUG
rnacentral:rRNA from 1 species